AAACAUUGAUUGGAGCCUACAGCCCCAAUCCGCCCGGGAAUUACGAACAUAAGUUUAAAACCCAAAGGACUUGGCGGCGCUUUAUAUCCCCCUAGAGGAGCCUGUCCUAGAACCGAUAAUCCCCGUUCAACCUCACCCUCUCUGGCCCUUUCCCGCCUAUAUACCGCCGUCGCCAGCUCACCCUGUGAAGGUCCAAAAGUGAGCACAAUUGGUACAGCCCAGCACGUCAGGUCGAGGUGUAGCGAAUGAGAGGGGAAGAGAUGGGCUACAUUCGCUAACUGCAGCGAAUUACGGAUGGUACAUUGAAACAUGUAACUGAAGGUGGAUUUAGUAGUAAGUUAGGAGUAGAGUGCCCU
rnacentral:rRNA from 1 species